ensembl:lncRNA novel transcript
GUGAAAAAAGGACAGAAGCAAAGGCUACACAAAACAAAGCCAGACCUGGAGAUCAUUUUCAAACUCUUCCCUCCUCACCCAAAAUACAUGAAAAGCCCUUCUGUAAAGCAACUGAUGUCUUCAACUUACUAUGAAACGGAGAUGAAUAACUCAGCUUGAUGAAGGAACCCUCAUGUCCACUCAAUUAAUGAUUGGGCACCUACCCUGGGUCAGAGGGCUUUUGGAGGUACAGAGUUCCUGGCCUUGACGAAGGUAAAGAAAGAGACAUGUCCUAUGCUGACCUUUUGGAUAAUAGAGCAUGGCAAAUUGGAGUCUUCAAUUAAGCACACGGAAUACAUGUGCUGAAUUGCUUUCUUUGCAAGGUUCAGAGUCAGAAUUCCUGCCCUGGGUUCUGAGUUGCUGAGUGGAGACGAUGAUGGAGAGCAGUGGAGACACGUGAUUUUCAGGGUGCUCUUUGCAUGCAUGAAAUGGAGCAAGACUUAUGAAGGGAAAAUGAAAGAGGAGGAUAGGAAGAUACGUCACCUCCUGGGUUUCCUCCAAUCAUCCAGUCCUCAUCUCUCUAUAUGUCUUUGAACACUCUGAGCGCCAUCAUGCCAAUUCCAUGGAUGAAACAAAUACCCAUGACUCAGCAUUUUUCUAAUGAAAACACGUGCGGUCUGACCC